rnacentral:rRNA from 1 species
UUGGAGGGCAAGUCUGGUGCCAGCAGCCGCGGUAAUUCCAGCUCCAAUAGCGUAUAUUAAAGUUGUUGCAGUUAAAAAGCUCGUAGUUGAAUUUCGGGAUUGACGUGAUGGUCAUGCCUUAAGGGGUAUGAACUGUCACUGUUGAUUUCUCACCUUCUGGAGAAACUUGAUGUCCUUUAUUGGGUGUCUUGCGGAUCCAGGACCUUUACCUUGAAAAAAUUAGAGUGUUUAAAGCAGGCAUUUUUGCUCGAAUACAUUAGCAUGGAAUAAUAGAAUAGGACGGCAUGGUUCUAUUUUGUUGGUUUCUAGGAUCACCGUAAUGAUUAAUAGGGAUAGUUGGGGGCAUUAGUAUUCAAUUGUCAGAGGUGAAAUUCUUGGAUUUAUUGAAGACUAACUACUGCGAAAGCAUUUGCCAAGGACGUUUCCAUUAAUCAAGAACGAGAGUUAGGGGAUCGAAGACGAUCAGAUACCGUCGUAGUCUUAACCAUAAACUAUGCCGACUAGGGAUCGGAUGAUGUUAAUUUUUUAAUGACUCAUUCGGCGCCUUACGGGAAACCAAAGUGUUUGGGUUC